UACCAGCACCCCCGAGUGGUCGGGACGUUUAUUGGGCCUAAAGCAUCCGUAGCCGGUUCUACAAGUCUUCCGUUAAAAUCCAACUGCUUAACAGGUGGGCUGCGGAAGAUACUAUAGAGCUAGGAGGCGGGAGAGGCAAGCGGUACUCGAUGGGUAGGGGUAAAAUCCGUUGAUCCAUUGAAGACCACCAGUGGCGAAGGCGGCUUGCCAGAACGCGCUCGACGGUGAGGGAUGAAAGCUGGGGGAGCAAACCGG
rnacentral:rRNA from 1 species